rnacentral:misc_RNA from 1 species
GAUGAAGAACGCAGCGAAAUGCGAUACGUAAUGUGAAUUGCAGAAUUCAGUGAAUCAUCGAGUCUUUGAACGCACAUUGCGCCCCCUGGUAUUCCGGGGGGCAUGCCUGUCCGAGCGUCAUUACAACCCUCAAGCUCAGCUUGGUAUUGGGCCCCGCCGACCCGGCGGGCCCUAAAGUCAGUGGCGGUGCCGUCCGGCUCCGAGCGUAGUAAUUCUUCUCGCUCUGGAGGUCCGGUCGUGUGCUCGCCAGCAAACCCCAAUUUUUUUCAGGUUGACCUCGGAUCAGGUAGGGAUACCCGCUGAACUUAAGCAUAUCAUAAGCGGAGGA